rnacentral:rRNA from 1 species
UACGGAAGGCAGCAGUGGGGAAUAUUGCACAAUGGGCGCAAGCCUGAUGCAGCCAUGCCGCGUGUAUGAAAAAGGCCUUCGGGUUGUAAAGUACUUUCAGUCGUGAGGAAGGUGUUAAGGUUAAUAACCUUAGCAAUUGACGUUAGCGACAGAAGAAGCACCGGCUAACUCCGUGCCAGCAGCCGCGGUAAUACGGAGGGUGCGAGCGUUAAUCGGAAUUACUGGGCGUAAAGGGCACGCAGGCGGUUAAUUAAGUUGGAUGUGAAAUCCCCGGGCUUAACCUGGGAAUGGCAUUCAAGACUGGUUAGCUAGAGUCUUGUAGAGGGGGUAGAAUUCCAUGUGUAGCGGUGAAAUGCGUAGAGAUGUGGAGGAAUACCGGUGGCGAAGGCGGCCCCUGGCAAAGGACUGACGCUCAUGUGCGAAAGCUGGGGAGCAAAC